rnacentral:rRNA from 1 species
GAUGAACGCUGGCGGCGUGCCUAAUACAUGCAAGUCGAGCGAAUGGAUUAAGAGCUUGCUCUUAUGAAGUUAGCGGCGGACGGGUGAGUAACACGUGGGUAACCUGCCCAUAAGACUGGGAUAACUCCGGGAAACCGGGGCUAAUACCGGAUAACAUUUUGAACCGCAUGGUUCGAAAUUGAAAGGCGGCUUCGGCUGUCACUUAUGGAUGGACCCGCGUCGCAUUAGCUAGUUGGUGAGGUAACGGCUCACCAGGGCAACGAUGCGUAGCCGACCUGAGAGGGUGAUCGGCCACACUGGGGCUGCGCCACGGCCCAGACUCCUACGGGAGGCAGCAGUAGGGAAUCUUCCGCAAUGGACGAAAGUCUGACGGAGCACCGCCGCGUGAGUGAUGAAGGCUUUCGGGUCGUAAAACUCUGUUGUUAGGGAAGAACAAGUGCUAGUUGAAUAAGCUGGCACCUUGACGGUACCUAACCAGAAAGCCACGGCUAACUACGUGCCAGCCGCCGCAGUAA